rnacentral:rRNA from 1 species
CAGCAGCCGCGGUAAUACGUAGGUCCCGAGCGUUGUCCGGAAUUAUUGGGCGUAAAGGGCGCGUAGGCGGUUUGGCAAGUUUCGUGUGAAAUCUUCGGGCUCAACUCGAAGUCUGCACGGAAAACUGCCGGGCUUGAGUAUGGGAGAGGUGAGUGGAAUUUCCGGUGUAGCGGUGAAAUGCGUAGAUAUCGGAAGGAACACCUGUGGCGAAAGCGGCUCACUGGACCAUAACUGACGCUGAGGCGCGAAAGCUAGGGGGGCAAACAGGAUUAGAUACCCGUGUAGUCCCUGUCUCUUAUAC